GCCUGGCACCGUGAUACAUGCCUGUAGUUCCAGCUACUCAGCAGGCUGAAGCUGGAGGAUCACUUGAGCCCAGGAGUCCUGGGUUGUCAUGUGCUAUGCUGAUUGGGUGCCCGUGCUAAUUUCAGCAUCAAUAUGGUGACCUCCCAGGAGCAGGGAACCACCAGGUUGUCUAAGUAGGGGUGAACCUGCCCAGGUUGAAAAUGGGGCAGGUAAAAACUCCACACCUGUGAAUAGCCUCUGCACUGCAGUCUGGGCAACAAGGUGAGAACUCAUUUCAG
ensembl:misc_RNA Metazoa_SRP Metazoan signal recognition particle RNA